rnacentral:rRNA from 1 species
AGCGAACGCUGGCGGCAGGCUUAACACAUGCAAGUCGAGCGGGCGUAGCAAUACGUCAGCGGCAGACGGGUGAGUAACGCGUGGGAACGUACCUUUUGGUUCGGAACAACACAGGGAAACUUGUGCUAAUACCGGAUAAGCCCUUACGGGAAAAGAUUUAUCGCCGAAAGAUCGGCCCGCGUCUGAUCAGCUAGUUGGUGAGGUAAUGGCUCACCAAGGCGACGAUCAGUAGCUGGUCUGAGAGGAUGAUCAGCCACAUUGGGACUGAGACACGGCCCAAACUCCUACGGGAGGCAGCAGUGGGGAAUAUUGGACAAUGGGCGCAAGCCUGAUCCAGCCAUGCCGCGUGAGUGAUGAAGGCCCUAGGUUGUAAAGCUCUUUUGUGCGGGAAGAUAAUGACGGUACCGCAAGAAUAAGCCCCGGCUAACUUCGUGCCAGCCGCCGCCGU